rnacentral:misc_RNA from 1 species
UACUGGCAGGAUCAACCAGGCAACGGUGAAGAACAAGUAUCCUCUUCCUCGGAUAGACGAGCUCUUUGACCAGCUUCAGGGUGCUCAGUACUUCUCCAAAGUGGACUUGAGGUCGGGAUACCAUCAGCUGCGGGUUAGGGAGCAGGAUGUGCAAAAGACGGCGUUUCGCACUCGUUAUGGGCACUAUGAGUUUCUCGUGAUGCCAUUCGGGUUGACAAAUGCGCCGGCAGUGUUUAUGGCUCUCAUGAACAAGAUCUUUGCCCCACACCUUGACAGCUUCACGGUGAUAUUCAUCGACGAUGUGCUGAUCUAUUCCAAGUCUAAGGCAGAGCAUGAGCAGCAUUUGCGGACAUCGCUGCAGUUGUUGCGCGACAAUCAGCUAUAUGCUAAGCUCAGCA